rnacentral:piRNA from 1 species
UAAGAAGAAGGAGGAGGAGGAGGAGGAGG